rnacentral:lncRNA from 1 species
UCGUUGUUUCAUGCAUAGUUGAGCCCUCUUACUCUCUCAACUGUUUCAUACAUGGUGAGCAUCUCCCUCCCUCUCUCUCUCUCACAAUGUGGUUAAACAAGCGUUGUUUCAUGAAUAGGUGAGCCAUCUCUCUCUCUCAACAAGUGUUGUUUCAUUCGGGUGCAAAACACUCGAAUUCUUGUCCAUGACAAACUAUAGUGUCACUGAAG